rnacentral:tRNA from 1 species
GGGCCAGUAGCUUAGCUAGGUAAAGCGAUCGGCUCUUAACCGAUCGANCGCGGGUUCGAAUCCCGUCUGGCCCNCCA